rnacentral:tRNA from 1 species
GGGAUUGUGGCUCAGCGGUAGAGCACUCGCCUAGCAUGUGUGAGACCCUGGGUUCAAUCCUCAGCAGCACA